rnacentral:snoRNA from 2 species
UCAGUCCUUUGAAAAAUCAACAUAAUUGUUCGGUUAUAUGCUUGUCUAUUGGUUUGUCAUCAUAGAA